UACGGGGGGUGCAAGCGUUGCUCGGAAUUAUUGGGCGUAAAGCGUACGCAGGCGGCUUGGCAAGUCGAGUGUGAAAUCGCGGGGCUCAACCCCGGACUGGCAUUCGAAACUGCUGAGCUUGAGUGCGGGAGAGGGAAGCGGAAUUCCUGGUGUAGAGGUGAAAUUCGUAGAUAUCAGGAGGGACACCGGUGGCGAAAGCGGCUUCCUGGCCCGAUACUGACGCUCAUGUACGAAAGCGUGGGGAGCAAACAGG
rnacentral:rRNA from 1 species